rnacentral:rRNA from 1 species
UUAUGUGCUCGUUCUGGGUAAAUAGAGUUUCUAGCAUUUAUGUUAGUUACUUGUUCCCCGGAUAGUUUAGUUACGUAGCCAAUUGUGGAACUUUCUUGCUAAAAUUUUUAAGAAUACUAUUUGGGUUAAACCAAUUAGUUCUUAUUAAUUAUAACGAUUAUCAAUUAACAAUCAAUUCAGAACUGGCACGGACUUGGGGAAUCCGACUGUCUAAUUAAAACAAAGCAUUGUGAUGGCCCUAGCGGGUGUUGACACAAUGUGAUUUCUGCCCAGUGCUCUGAAUGUCAAAGUGAAGAAAUUCAAGUAAGCGCGGGUCAACGGCGGGAGUAACUAUGACUCUCUUAAGGUAGCCAAAUGCCUCGUCAUCUAAUUAGUGACGCGCAUGAAUGGAUUAACGAGAUUCCUACUGUCCCUAUCUACUAUCUAGCGAAACCACAGCCAAGGGAACGGGCUUGGAAUAAUUAGCGGGGAAAGAAGACCCUUUUGAGCUUGACUCUAAUCUGGCAGUGUAAGGAGACAUAAGAGGUGUAGAAUAAGUGGGAGAUAUUAGACCUCGGUUUGGUAUCGUCAAUGAAAUACCACUACUCUUAUUGUUUCCUUACUUACUUGAUUAAAUGGAACGUGUAUCAUUUCCUAGCCAUUAUACGGAUAUAUUUAUUAUAUCUUAUGGUAUUGGGUUUUGAUGCAAGCUUCUUGAUCAAAGUAUCACGAGUUUGUUAUAUAAUCGCAAACAAAUUCUUUAAUAAAACGAUGCAUUUAUGUAUUUUUGAUUUGAAAAUUUGGUAUAACUCCAAUUACUCAGGUAUGAUCCAAUUCAAGGACAUUGCCAGGUAGGGAGUUUGACUGGGGCGGUACAUCUCUCAAAUAAUAACGGAGGUGUCCCAAGGCCAGCUCAGUGCGGACAGAAACCACACAUAGAGCAAAAGGGCAAAUGCUGACUUGAUCUCGGUGUUCAGUACACACAGGGACAGCAAAAGCUCGGCCUAUCGAUCCUUUUGGUUUAAAGAGUUUUUAACAAGAGGUGUCAGAAAAGUUACCAUAGGGAUAACUGGCUUGUGGCGGCCAAGCGUUCAUAGCGACGUCGCUUUUUGAUCCUUCGAUGUCGGCUCUUCCUAUCAUUGUGAAGCAAAAUUCACCAAGCGUUGGAUUGUUCACCCAUGCAAGGGAACGUGAGCUGGGUUUAGACCGUCGUGAGACAGGUUAGUUUUACCCUACUAAUGACAAAACGUUGUUGCGACAGCAUUCCUGCGUAGUACGAGAGGAACCGCAGGUACGGACCAAUGGCACAAUACUUGUUCGAGCGAACAGUGGUAUGACGCUACGUCCGUUGGAUUAUGCCUGAACGCCUCUAAGGUCGUAUCCGUGCUGGACUGCAAUGAUAAAUAAGGGGCAAUUUGCAUUGU